UCGUACAACUGAGGUGCAAGGGCUGUCGCUGACCUUCAAAGGUUGUGCACGCCCGGAGUGCACUCUCACACAUCCAUCUCACCCAUUUGUGCAUCACCGCGUGGGCCCACCCUUUUGCGGGGGAGGGCUUGCGUUUUCACAUAAAACUUGAAACUGUGUAGAAUGUUUUCAUUUGCGGUUACACGCAAUCAAUA
rnacentral:misc_RNA from 1 species